CCGGAGCCACAAAGCUUGGAUCAGGAUCUGAACUCUCCCAAAGUUAAAGGGGAUUUGGCUCCAGGAUUUUCAUCCAACCUCACCUCUAAUUAUUAUACAGUACCAACCAUGCAAGUGAUAUUGCAAUGUUGCCAACUCUAGUGAGUUUAUUGAUAUUUUUGUGGUAUUAAGGUUUUUUCCAUAAAGUCCCAGCUCCUGGAUUCAUGAGAUUAUGUGAGACUCAAUCUCAUCUUUUUUUACAAAAAAGAAGAAGAAAAAGCUGCUAAAAAUUUUCAAAUGGAGCUGUGGAACCCAUUGGAAAUCUUAGUCCGCAGACCAUAGGUUGAAAACUACUGAACUAGCCAGAUGGAUGCCUCACUCUGCAGUUCAGGACAGCCACCAGCAGGAUCACCUCUUGCAGGGGGAAAAGCACUUGCACAGAGAUGCACUUGUCCAAUGUGUCCUCUGUCUCCACAACAAUCUUCUUCAUCAGACUGCAGGGCCUCCCAGCAAGGCUCUGCUCAUUAGCCACGCUCUGUAUUGCACUGUACUGGCUGCUGCUGAAGCCUGAGUAUGAAAGAUGUGUGUCCCUCCAAAACACCUGGAUCCCAAUUCCCCUGAACUUUGGGGAAGUUCAGAUCCAGAUCCCAACUUUGUGGCUGGCCCUUGUCUCUACUCUGUAAUAUUUCUCCCUGUUUGUUUAGGGGGGUUGUUUUGAACAGUGACAUUACUUUUUCCUUUGUCAUUAAUUUUAGUUCUGACAAAAGGACAACCCUGGAGAGUGAAGGCCUCUGUUUGUGUGGACAAUAGCAAGACUAGCUUCCCACACACUGCCUCACCAAUGGGCCUACCUCCUCUCAGAGUGGGAGGGGAGCUCAGCCCCUACAGUCUAGUCAAUUCUUGGCCUAUCUGCUGAACAAGGGAACCAAUGAGUGCCAGUGCUGGUGGGUUCUGUGAUAUGGGAACUUCCCCACUAAGAGCUGGACUGAGACUGUCCGUUUAUUCCUCACAGGACUCCACACAGCUGUUAGCAGGCAACAAUGUUCAGUCACUACCAAAACGGGCCAGAUUUGAGCUGGUGACCUGGAGAUCAAAGGCUCUGCAACACAUCACCAACCCUUUAUGUUGGCGAGUCACUACUCCCAUCAUGAUAUUUGUGCCAGUUUGAAAUAAUCCUAGGGCAGAAUUCUUCACUCUGCAGCCUCCAACCUCUGCCAUGGGAGAACAGAAGGCCAUAGGCAUUGCAUUAGCACUGGAAGAACAAGGGUGUCUGCAGGUCAGGGCUGGAGCUCUGAGCAGGUGGUUUCCAGCAGAGGACUUUAAGGGGGCAUUGCAGAUCAGGGUUGAUGGAUAGUGACAGAGCUAGGUAUGGGGAAGUUGCAUAGCCACUGCCCACACUGUGUCUUUAGGCGGCAUGGUAAGUCCCUCACUUCCUUAAGUGCUAAAAAUUCCCUAAAGUUCAAAUAAAAGGUGAAAAGAAUUACAAACUUACAGGGGUGCACAUGUUUGAGGUUACAUGAGGCUAAUCAGGACCAAGAGCCCCCAUUAAAAGCACUUUCUCUACAAGCCUAUCUCUGAGUAACACGAACAGUAUUUCCCAACUCUGCUGAAGUCCAGGACAAAUUCUGUUUAUGAAAUAAUGCCCCUGGUAUAAAGCAGCAAAUCCUUAGACAUAUGCUCUGAAUGCCAUGCAAAGCACACGGUGUCGUUUUGGGCAUGUUUUUGAUGGCAGGAAGGGCUAGGAUAAGACAUGACGAGCAAAGG